UUUUUUUUUUUUUUAUUAAACAUUGAAUUUAUAAGAAUAAGGAUUAAGAUGUUUCAGAGAAGGCAAAAGAGAAAAGUAAAAUAAUUAAAAUGCACUAAGUUCUAAUAAAGUUGUCUUAGAAAUAAUAGCAACAAAAAUUAAAGACCGCUAUACCAAUUAUCUUAACAUCUCAUUCUGAUUAUCACUUAUUAACCAUGGCAGUCACUUAACCAUCUUGCCUUCAGUUUUCUCUCAUCUAUUAAUCUUAAUAAAAUAUUAAUAUGCAUAGUACAUAGUUAGAAACAUCAAUGGCAUAAUGUGUAAAAAUACUUUAAACAAUAAAGAAACCAUAUUUGAAUUAUUAUAAACUAUAUAUUGAUUAUAAGUAUAAUAAUGAGAUUGGGGAAAUGUACUUUUAAUAUUCCACAAAAUGACUUAUUAGUGCAAAAAUGAGUUAUCACCAUAGUAUUUUGUUCACUACCUGAUUCACUUUAUUAUAACAAACUUUUAUAUUUAAAUCUUUCAGGAGUUUCCUUGGCGGCUCAGCAGAUACGAAUUUGACUAGUAUCCAUGAGGAUGCAGGUGCGGCCCUAGAAAAAGACAAAAUAAUAAUAAUCAUAACAAAAAUACUGAAUCACUAAGCUGUACACCUGAAACUAACAUAAUAUUGUAAAUCAACUAUACUUCAAUAAAAAAAGAGUGCACAUUUUAACAGAAACAUAAAAUUGUAUUUGCCCAAAAUAUAAGAACUAUAAUUUGUUCAGAAUCUUUAAGUUUUAUAUUCUAAUGCAAAAUUUGAUGCUUGAUUGUCCUCAAUAAGUAAAACUGAUAUAGACAUUUGCUCGGCAACCGUAUGUUUUCCACAUAUCAAUAUUCAUUUCUGACUUUUUUUCCAUUUUACAUAGAACAUCAAUUGCUGAAAUAAUUUUGUCUCUAAAUCAGGAGUUAUUCAUUGAAUGCUUUAUUACAAUGGAGUCAAACAGACCUGUGUUCAAAUCUCAGCUCAAUUACUUACUCGCCAUAUGAUCUUGCUAAGUUUCUUCAUUUAUAGAAUGGAGAUAAUAUAUGGUAUCUUGUUUCACAGGUUACUGUGAAAAGUAAAUCAGAUAAUAUAUUUUAAGCAAUGGCACAUAGUACUAAACACUCAGUAAACAGGCAGCUGUUGUACCCAUGAUAUAGACUUAGCUCUAACCCUGCAAUAAUUACAGUCCUGUUUUAAACCAGUUGUACUUAAACAGAUGUGUCUAAAGAAGAACUCAAAAAAAAAAAAAAAUACUUGUGGGAGUUCCUUUCGUGGCUCAGUGGUUAACGAACCCAACUAGGAUCCAUGAGGAUGUAGGUUCAAUCCCUGGCUUUAGUCAGUAGGUUAAGGAUCCGGUUUUGCUGUGAGCUGUGGUGUAGGUCACAGAUGCGACUCAGAACCUGUGUUACUGUGGCUAUGGCAUAAGCUGGCAGCUGUAGCUCCAAUUCAACUCCUAGCCUGUGAACUUCCAUAUGCUGUGGGUACAACCCUAAAAAGCAAAAACAAUACUUGUGUAAUUUAUAAAAAUAUAACUUAUAUUCCACACCAUAUUCUGAGAUUUGUUGUUGGUGAAAGGGAAAGGAGUUAAGGUAUAGGCACACAGAGUUACAAAACUACCCUCUAAUAACUUUGAAAACACUGUUUAAAAUAUUAAAUGUAUUAAACCUUUUACAAGUCCAUUUCCACAUCCAUUUAUUAACAAUCAAAAUACUGGAUAUGUAAAAAUGCCAAAUUCAAAUUUUCUACUUCUCAUUAGACAUUAUUUUAUUCAAUAAAAUAUGUGUUUAUACAAGCUCUCUUAGCAAUAAAUGCUUAAUUAGAAUAAAUGUAUUGGGAGUGGGUGAAGAAUCCAACUGCAGCAGCUCGAGUAGUGGUGGAGCUGUGUGUUUAACUCUAGGCCCAGGGUAGUGGGUUAAAGGAUCCAGGGUUUCCGUAGGUAUCUGCUUCCGUGUAGGUUGCAGCUGCGGCAUGGAUUCAAUCCCUGGCCUGGGAACUUCCAUAUGCUGUGCGUGUGGCCAUUAAAUAAAUAAGUAAAGGUAACGCUUUUAAAUCCUUGUAGAGAUUUAAGAUACAGAAGGAGUAGCUUUCCUCUACGACCCACUGCUAAUUUGGGAUUUACUGGUUUAUAAAAUCAGAAAGACAAGGCCCUGUGAUCACUGUUCCCACAUAAAGAGAUAUCUUUAACAUUAUCAUCAUGGCCAGAUGUGCUCAGGACUUACAGCUGCUCUGCUACUAUGUCAAAAAAGUCUCAGUCUUAUCUCUGUUGGUACAAGUUUCUACGUUUUGCUGUCGUUCAACUUAGCUAUUUAGCUCACCAAUUUAGAACAGUCUUAAAGUGCGAAAUAAAAAUAAUGUAGUGGCUACAUAUUCAUUCAUUAAAAAUAUAGUAAUAAUUGAAGGUCUACUGUGUGCCAGGCACUGUUUUAGGCAUGUCCCUGCUCUCAUGGAAUGUACUUUCUAGGACAGGAUAACAGAAAAUAAACAAAUAACUAUAUUAAUUAUCAUAUUAAUAAAUAAAAAGAAAAACAGGGUAAAUUAAGGGGGAUAAAAAGUUACAGGAGAUAUGCUGCAAUUAUCUGCAAUGUGUUCAGGGAAGGAUUCUUUCUGAAACCAUAACUGAGCAGAGACCUAACAGAGGGGAAACAGCAAUCUGUGUAGACAUCAAGGGAAGAAGCAUUCUAGAACAGAAAACACAAAGGGCAAAGCCCACGAAGUGUUCCAGGAAAAGCAAGGCAACUUCUAGAGAUAGGGCAGAGGGAACAGAGGGGGAAAGGUAUCAGGUGAAGUUAAACAAGCAGCAUGGAGUUAUAUCAGGUAGGAUAUUAUAGGCUGUUUUAAGGGCUUUGGAUCAUAUUUUGAAUUAUAAGAGAAGCCCUUAGAGUAUCCUGAGCAGAGAACAUAAAUUGAAUUAUGAUUAAAAAUUAUGACUGCUAUGUGAAAAAUAAGCUACACAGAACGAAGGGAGAAGCAGGGUAACCAGAGGCACAAAUGACAGAUUCAUGUCAAACAUAAAUGAUUAGCCACAGGAGAGAUAAAAUUUCCUGGACUUAAUUAACAAACAUGGUGACCUAGACCUUCUAUUCCCUGUGACAGGACUGCAUUAGAUGCUAGCACCUGUUCCAUGUCAAACAGAACAAAUUAUGAAAAAAAAAUCAUUGUUUGCAAGGCAAAUGACACUUCACUUACAAAGAUUUUUUUCCAUAAUGUACAUUAACCCGUAAAGCUUUAGAUGUACAUCCCCAAAUCUAUCAGAUUCAUAAAAGUCAAACUACAAUACAGGAAUGAAUUAUUCUACUUCCAGGAAUGGGAAAGUAAGACCAAGACUAAGAUUAACUAAAAAAACUUGACAAAAAAUAAUUAAAAGCAAAAACUUUAAAACCUUUUGCUCAAGGAGUUCCCUGAUGGUGUAGUGGGUUGAGGAUCUGAGGAUGGUGUAGCCAGUUGUCACUGCUGUGGCCUGGGGUUUGAUCCCUGGCCGGGGAACUUCUGCAUGCUAUGAGCAUGGCAAAAAUACAAACAAAAUUAAAAUUUUUAAAAUAAAAUUAAACAAUUUGCUUGAAGGCCUUGGAGACCUAACAACAACAUAACAAUUUAUAGUUGAGGAUCCAGGAGCAGCCCAGAAGUAAACUCAGUCAUCUGAGGUGCUUCUUCCCGCCUCCUUAAGAAAAGCUGAUAUUCAAAUGGCCAGUCACGGAGUUUCCAUUGUGGCACAGUG
rnacentral:lncRNA from 1 species